UGGUGUUUAGCGCAGCUUGGCAGCGCAUCCGUGUUUUUAAUAUGAGCGGGACCAGAGGAUUUUCGCAGGUUCGAAUCCUGCAACGCCGACCA
rnacentral:tRNA from 1 species